UUGAUCACCGCGUCCACACUGGCACCAUGGUUAAGCAACAGUUGUAAGAUAUCAUCAUGACCGCGAAUUGCAGGGUGGUGCAAUGGUGUAUUACCAUCCUUGUUCACCGCGUUCACACUGGCACCAUGGUUAAGCAACAGUUGUAAGAUAUCAACAUCACCGCGAAUUGCAGGGUGGUGCAAUGGUGUAUCACCAUCAUUGUCCACCGCGUCCACACUGGCACCAUGGUUAAGCAACAGUUGUAAGAUAUCAACAUGACCGGAGAUUGCAGCUUUGUGCAAUGGUGUAUCACCAUCAUUGUCCACCGCGUUCACACUGGCACCAUGGUUAAGCAACAGUUGUAAGAUAUCAUCAUGACCGUAAGAUGCAGCUUUGUGCAAUGGUGUAUAACCCUCCUUGUCCACCGCGUUCACACUGGCACCAUGGUUAAGCAACAGUUGUAAGAUAUCAUCAUGACGCUGAGAUGCAGCUUUGUGUAAUGGUGUAUCACCAUCAUUGUCCACCGCGUCCACACUGGCACCAUGGUUAAGCAACAGUUGUAAGAUAUCAACAUGACCGUGAGAUGCAGCUUUGUGCAAUGGUGUAUCACCAUCAUUGUCCACCGCGUUCACACUGGCACCAUGGUUAAGCAACAGUUGUAAGAUAUCAACAUCACCGCGAAUUGCAGCGUGGUGCAAUGGUGUAUUACCAUCCUUGUUCACCGCGUUCACACUGGCACCAUGGUUAAGCAACAGUUGUAAGAUAUCAUCAUGACCAUCUGCAGCGUAGUGCAAUGGUGUAUCACUCUCAUUGUCCACCGUGUUCACACUGGCACCAUGGUUAAGCAACAGUUGUAAGAUAUCAACAUCACCGCGAAUUGCAGGGUGGUGCAAUGGUGUAUUACCAUCCUUGUUCACCGCGUUCACACUGGCACCAUGGUUAAGCAACAGUUGUAAGAUAUCAACAUGACCGUGAGAUGCAGCUUUGUGCAAUGGUGUAUCACCAUCAUUGUCCACCGCGUUCACACUGGCACCAUGGUUAAGCAACAGUUGUAAGAUAUCAACAUGACCGUAAGAUGCAGCUUUGUGCAAUGGUGUAUAACCCUAGAGACCGCCACGUUGAUUCAACAUGUUGAUGAUAUCCGAGUCUUUUUGCAAGAUCUCUUGUACUUUGCGAAGAUUCCUGUUUGCACAAGCAUCAUGUAGAGAUUCAUCUUGUUUUGUUGACAUUCCUUGGUUUAAACCUUGUUAGAAUUUACCAUCAUAUAGUUACAUUUGCAGAAGCAUCCUCUGAAAAGUUCCUACAGAAACAGAGCUAGUAAUAAGUAGGGAUGUGCCAGAGCCAGAUACCGGUAUCCGGCAAAAUAUAGGCAUCCGUCACCAUAUAGUAAAAUAGACUUUUAUCACAACCCCAGACAUCUGUUAUAAAAUUAAUACACUUUGAAUAAAUUAGUUCGUUUUUAUAAUUUGUUUAAAAUAAUAAAAAACCUGGUUUCCUGGGGUAACAUUUCAAGCCGGCCUAAGGAUAAAAUCCUAUUCAAACACAGCAAGCGAUUUAUACACGACAAAAA